rnacentral:tRNA from 1 species
AUCUAAAUAGUUUAUUUAAAAUAAUAAUUUGUGGUGUUAUAGAUGUAAGUUUUACUUUAGAUU